rnacentral:lncRNA from 1 species
CUUGUAAUAGUAUGUUGUCAUUUCAAUGUUAUAUUUAACAUUAUCAUUAAAGUGCCAGGUUUGGCAUGCCACAAAACCAGGUUCAACCCAUCAUGUUUUCCUUUAAAAAUGUCCUGUACCAAGUCAGGAAUAUGGCCAUUGUUAUAUUAUUGUUCGUUUCUGUGUGUGUUACAUUUUAACGUUGCGUCGUUUUUUUUCACUUAUUUUUGAGUGUAAUUUCACAUUGCGAUAAGACGUGUCACGGUACUUGUCUAUCCCGAAUUCAUGUAUUUGGUUUUGAUGUUAUAUUUGUUAUUCUCGUGGGACUUUGCCUGAUGCUUGGUCCGUUUUUUGUGUGUGUUACAUUUUAGUGUUGUGUCGUUG